rnacentral:rRNA from 1 species
UAAGACGUUGAUAGGCUGGGUGUGUAAGCGUAGCGAUACGUUGAGCUAACCAGUACUAAUGAACCGUGAGGCUUAACCUGACAACACCGAAGGUGUUU